AAUCAACGCUGGCGGCGUGCCUCAGACAUGCAAGUCGAACGAUUAAAGCUCUCUUCGGAGAGUGUAUAGAGUGGCGCACGGGUGAGUAACACGUAAGUAAUCUACCUUUGAGUGGGGAAUAACCCGGGGAAACCCGAGCUAAUACCGCAUAAUGCAGCGGCACCGCAAGGUGACAGUUGUUAAAGGAGCAAUCCGCUUAAAGAGGAGCUUGCGGCAGAUUAGCUAGNGGUAAGGUAAUGGCUUACCAAGGCUUCGAUCUGUAUCCGGCCUGAGAGGGCGGUCGGACACACUGACACUGAAUAACGGGUCAGACUCCUACGGGAGGCAGCAGUCGGGAAUUUGGGCAAUGGGCGAAAGCCUGACCCAGCAACGCCGCGUGAAGGAUGAAGUAUUUCGGUAUGUAAACUUCGAAAGAAUGGGAAGAAUCAAUGACGGUACCAUUUAUAAGGUCCGGCUAACUACGUGCCAGCCGCCGCCGUAAG
rnacentral:rRNA from 1 species